GAUGAACGCUGGCGGCGUGCCUAACACAUGCAAGUCGAGCGAAGCACUUACUUUAGAUUUCUUCGGAAUGACGAAGUUUGUGACUGAGCGGCGGACGGGUGAGUAACGCGUGGGCAACCUGCCCUGUACAGGGGGAUAACAGUUAGAAAUGACUGCUAAUACCGCAUAAGCCCACAGCUUCGCAUGAAGCAGUGGGCAAAACUCCGGUGGUACAGGAUGGGCCCGCGUCUGAUUAGCUAGUUGGUAAGGUAACGGCUUACCAAGGCGACGAUCAGUAGCCGACCUGAGAGGGUGACCGGCCACAUUGGGACUGAGACACGGCCCAAACUCCUACGGGAGGCAGCAGUGGGGAAUAUUGCACAAUGGGGGAAACCCUGAUGCAGCGACGCCGCGUGAGCGAUGAAGUAUUUCGGUAUGUAAAGCUCUAUCAGCAGGGAAGAAAGUGACGGUACCUGACGAAGAAGCCCCGGCUAACUACGUG
rnacentral:rRNA from 1 species